rnacentral:ncRNA from 1 species
UACCUGGUUGAUCCUGCCAGUAGUCAUAUGCUUGUCUCAAAGAUUAAGCCAUGCAAGUCUAAGUACGAGCUCUCGUACAGUGAAACUGCGAAUGGCUCAUUAAAUCAGUUAUGGUUCAUUUGAUCGUACAGUUUACUUGGAUAACUGUGGUAAUUCUAGAGCUAAUACAUGCGAGAAGCGCCGACCUCGCGGGAGGCGUGCAUUUAUCAGACCAAAAACCGGCCGCGUCUUCGGGCGCGUUCGCCUUGGUGACUCUGGAUAACUUUGCGGAUCGCACGGUCUAGCACCGGCGACGGAUCAUUCAAGUGUCUGCCCUAUCAACUUUCGUCGGUACGGUAUUUGCCUACCGAGGUUCUUACGGGUGACGGGGAAUCAGGGUUCGAUUCCGGAGAGGGAGCCUGAGAAACGGCUACCACAUCCAAGGAAGGCA